CGGCAACAGCUCAAAUUUGAAAUCUGGCUCUUCUAGGGUCCGAGUUGUAAUUUGUAGAAGAUGCUUCGGGUGUGGCUCCGGUCUAAGUUCCUUGGAACAGGACGUCAUAGAGGGUGAGAGCCCCGUCUGGUUGGAUACCGAUCCUCUGUAAAGCUCCUUCGAC
rnacentral:rRNA from 1 species